rnacentral:rRNA from 1 species
UCCUAAAGGAGGCAGCAGUAGGGAAUCUUCCGCAAUGGACGAAAGUCUGACGGAGCAACGCCCCGUGAACGAUGAAGGCCUUCGGGUCGUAAAGUUCUGUUGUUAGGGAAGAACAAGUACCAGAGUAACUGCUGGUACCUUGACGGUACCUAACCAGAAAGCCACGGCUAACUACGUGCCAGCAGCCGCGGUAAUACGUAGGUGGCAAGCGUUGUCCGGAAUUAUUGGGCGUAAAGCGCGCGCAGGCGGUUUCUUAAGUCUGAUGUGAAAGCCCACGGCUCAACCGUGGAGGGUCAUUGGAAACUGGGGAACUUGAGUGCAGAAGAAGAGAGUGGAAUUCCACGUGUAGCGGUGAAAUGCGUAAAGAUGUGGAGGAACACCAGUGGCGAAGGCGACUCUCUGGUCUGUAACUGACGCUGAGGCGCGAAAACCUGGGGAGCGAAAAGGAUUAGAUUACCUGGGAGUCCACGCCGAAACAAUGAGUGCUAAGGGUAAAAGGGUUCCCCCCUUAAUGCCGCACAAACGC